rnacentral:lncRNA from 1 species
GCAGGUGACGCAGGGCCUAAAAUCUGGGCUGCAGGUUAGCUGUGGAUGGUGGUGGCCCAUGCUCAGGCUGUCCCCAUGACAACAGACCAUCAAGGAUGGGCUGUGUGAAGAGGAGCCGAUCCUGAUUUUGAUUCUCACAGGCAUUUGCUAAGAGCAGGGGAGUGGAGAGAGGGCGGGACAGUGGAGACAGGGGGAUCUCUGCCCCGCUCCUGGGAGCUCGGUGACUCCUGGACCUGAGACGAGCUUUAAAAAUGCAAAGGUGAAGCUAAGUGAGGGCUUGAGGGCUGCCCGGCCGGCCCAACCUGGGGUCAACGGGGCUGCCCAGGCGCCUGAAAGCUGGGGCCCAGCUCAGCCAGGGCUCGAGUUCUGGGCUCAAGCUCCCAUGGCGCAGGAACCCCCUGUGGGAGGAAGCUUCCAGAGCCAUAGGGCUCACAGAGGCCACAGUCCCCAUGUGGAUUCGUGCCCAGCCCCCUUCCGAGGCGCCUGGUUGGCUUCGUACCUGGCCACUGACUUGUCCAGUCACUGUGUGUCUGCUGCAUAGCUGAUCCCAUGGUGAAGGCCGAAGAGGCCCUGGCGAGAAAGAUGAAUGAAGGACAGAAAAGCCAGCCAGGACUGCUGAGCCCUGCAAAAGGCAAAUCGCUUUCAGUGGCUCAACUUGUGGGGAGAGACGGAAGCUUUUCUCCCUGGCCUGAGUGCAGUGACUAUGAUCUGCUUGGUUUUCUUGCUGGACAGAGCCGUUUGAACAACAAAUGCAAAAAGCCUGGAUCUCUCCACCGCAGUGUCUAUUUUUGCAAACCUGCUUGGUGCCCCUGCUAUUAGCUGCAUGCACAUGUUUCCCGGCUCCAGCCACAUGCCCGUAAGCACUUAAUUGUGGGUGCAGUUAGUCAAGGCGGGCGGCUCUCUGCAGAUUUCAGGGGUGAGGGAACCUAAUUACACCUGCAAUUGAGUGCUUUAGCAGGGACAAAAGCUGCCUGUUCAGCUAAUUGCAGGCACCAAAAUUGCCCCCACAGAAAGAAUCCCUGGUACAGGCUUUUCGAGCCAAG